rnacentral:lncRNA from 1 species
GGCAGCAGCGGCGGAGCUCUUCAGACGAGAACAGAGGAGGACGGCCUCCGGCGGCAGUCUCCGGCGCACGGCACUCUCCGACAGCAACAAUCAGCAACUUAGGAUUUAAAAAGUUUACAAAUCGAUUCUUCAACCGAAUUCCCCUUCAAAAAAUAAUAUAAAUCGGUUCUUCAACCAAACAUUCAAAAAUUCAACCAAACAUUCAAAAAUUAAACUGAAAGCUUACAUUGAUGGCCGAUGUCGACGGUGUGGUGGCGGAGUCGGCGUCGUGGCGGAGAAGAGAGCCUGCCGGCGGAGGAGCGCUACAGACGAAACAGAGGACGGCGACUGCGAACCUUCACCGGGAACAACUCAGCGGGAAAUCGGCCCGAUCGACGGCGUUCUCCAGCGGCGCGCAGGUUCGGCGAGCUCCAACAGCGGCGUUUGUCCGAUUUGAGGAAGAGGCGUCGAUUUUGGAGAAUGAAGGGGCGGCGAGCUCUUUU